rnacentral:rRNA from 1 species
GAGAUGUGUGAUGACGCAUAUCAAUAAGCGGAGGAAAAGAAACUAACAAGGAUUCCCUUAGUAACGGCGAGUGAAGCGGGAAGAGCUCAAAUUUGAAAUCUUCAAGGUUCUACCUUGACGAAUUGUAGUUUAUAGAAGUGUUUUCUGUUAGUAGAGUGGCAAAAGUUCUUUGGAAUAGGACAUCAUAGAGGGUGAGAAUCCCGUAUUUGGUCAUUCUCUUCUAGCUUUGUGAUACACUUUCAACGAGUCGGAUUGUUUGGGAAUGCAGUCCAAAAUGGGUGGUAAAUUUCAUCUAAAGCUAAAUAUUGGCGAGAGACCGAUAGCGAACAAGUACCGUGAGGGAAAGAUGAAAAGAACUUUGAAAAGAGAGUUAAACAGUACGUGAAAUUGUCAAAAGGGAAGCGUUUGACACCAGUGUUGUUUUUCCGAAAAUCAAUUACGAAUGUUUUGUUUUUAAGGAGUUAUGACUUCAUCGGCUUGCUUCUUUCUUUACGAAACUUUCUUAAUGCACUUUUCGGUUAACAAGUCAACAUCAAUUUCUUUUGUUGUAAGAGGGUAUGAGGAAGGUGGCUUUCUUUUCGGAGAAAGUGUUUAUAGCCUUGUACCUCUGCAAUCGGAGAGAUUGAGGUCUGCAGCGUAGAUCCUUCGGGGUUAGAUACAUUUGUGCUAAGUUAUAGCUUUUCAUAGACAACUUGUUGACUAUGUUUAGUCUCGUAGCUUACUCGCUUAUGCUAUUUUACCUACGCUUAGGAUGUUGAAGAUGUAGCACAUCAU